AAAUCCGAAGAGUGGUCUGUGCACUGUUAGACCCGCCGAAGGAGCAAGCCCAUUUAUCUGGGGAUAGAUGCGGUGAAUCUCUCAGGCUCCAAUACGGAUGGGG
rnacentral:ncRNA from 1 species